AUGACUUUCUCUUAUAGAAUGAUCUUGUUCAGAGUUCUGCUCCUUGUACUAAUCAUUUUUGUAACAUCUCAAACAAGAGUAGAUGGCAGACCAUUAUCCAUAAAUUACUAUGAAUGGUCUUCUUGGGGUAAUGGACUUCUCUUACAAUCUCUUCCAAACGCUCCUGCACCUCCUUCAACAGGAGAUCAUACUCAUCCUUAA
rnacentral:lncRNA from 1 species